rnacentral:rRNA from 1 species
GUGGGGAAUAUUGCGCAAUGGGGGAAACCCUGACGCAGCAAUACCGCGUGAGUGAAGAAGGUUUUCGGAUCGUAAAACUCUUUUAUUGGGGAAGAAGAAGUGACGGUACCCAAUGAAGAAGUCCCGGCUAACUACGUGCCAGCAGCCGCGGUAAUACGUAGGGGACAAGCGUUGUCCGGAAUCACUGGGCGUAAAGGGCGCGUAGGCGGUUUUAUAAGUCAGAUGUGAAAGGUACCGGCUCAACCGGUGACGUGCAUUUGAAACUGUAAGACUUGAGUACUGGAGAGGCAAGUGGAAUUCCUAGUGUAGCGGUGAAAUGCGUAGAUAUUAGGAGGAACACCGGUGGCGAAGGCGGCUUGCUGGACAGAUACUGACGCUGAGGUGCGAAAGCGUGGGGAGCGAACAGGAUUAGAUACCCUUGUAGUCC